rnacentral:rRNA from 1 species
AUACACGAAAGUGUGACGGGGUUACCCAAAGUGUUCAAUUUUGAACUGUGGUAGGUGAGUAAUGUUCCCUACUAGAAAGGAGAGGGCAAGGCUGGUGCCAGCCGCCGCGGUAAAACCAGCUCUUCAAGUGGUCGGGAUAAUUAUUGGGCUUAAAGUGUCCGUAGCCGGUUUAGUAAGUUCCUGGUAAAAUCGGGUAGCUUAACUAUCUAUAUGCUAGGAAUACUACUAUACUAGAGGGCGGGAGAGGUCUGAGGUACUACAGGGGUAGGGGUGAAAUCUUAUAAUCCUUGUUGGACCACCAGUGGCGAAGGCGUCAGACUGGAACGCGCCUGACGGUGAGGGACGAAAGCCAGGGGAGCGAACCGGAUUAGAUACCCGGGUAGUCCUGGCCGUAAACGAUGCAUACUAGGUGAUGGCACGGCCAUGAGCCGUGUCAGUGCCGUAGGGAAACCGUUAAGUGUGCCGCCUGGGAAGUACGGUCGCAAGGCU